rnacentral:tRNA from 1 species
AGCAAGAUGGCUGAGUAUAAGCGGAAGACUGUAGAUCUUCUCACGGACAAAAGUUCUCUUGUAA